rnacentral:RNase_P_RNA from 1 species
GAGGAAAGUCCGGGCUCCACAGGGCAGGGUGCCAGGUAACGCCUGGGGGGGAAACCCACGACCAGUGCAACAGAGAGCAAACCGCCGAUGGCCCGCGCAAGCGGGAUCAGGUAAGGGUGAAAGGGUGCGGUAAGAGCGCACCGCGCGGCUGGCAACAGUCCGUGGCACGGUAAACUCCACCCGGAGCAAGGCCAAAUAGGGGUUCACAUGGUACGGCCCGUACUGAACCCGGGUAGGCUGCUUGAGCCAGUGAGCGAUUGCUGGCCUAGAUGAAUGACUGUCCACGACAGAACCCGGCUUA